CGGGACGGGUGAGUAACGCGUGGAUAACCUGCCUCACACUGGGGGAUAACAGUUAAAAAUGGCUGCUAAUACCGCAUAAGCGCACAGUACCGCAUGGUACGGUGUGAAAAACCCAGGUGGUGUGAGAUGGAUCCGCGUCUGAUUAGCCAGUUGGCGGGGUAACGGCCCACCAAAGCGACGAUCAGUAGCCGACCUGAGAGGGUGACCGGCCACACUGGGACUGAGACACGGCCCAG
rnacentral:rRNA from 1 species